GUCAGCACCCCGCACUCUCUGUGACGGGGCUAUGGGCGGAGCGCAGGCUUCGCACCUAGUGCCUCACCAGAGCGUGAUAGUUGACCAGCCUAAGUCUUAAUUGACUACGUUUUUUGAGUCAUGACACCCUGUGGAUGCGUAGCUAGUCCCAGGCUCUGUC
rnacentral:sRNA from 1 species